ACCACAGGCUACGACGGGUAGGGGGCCUGAGAGGUGACCCCCCACACGGGAACUGAGACACGGUCCCGACUCCUACGGGAGGCAGCAGUGAGGAAUCUUGCGCAAUGGGGGAAACCCUGACGCAGCGACGCCGCGUGCGGGAGGAAGGCCUUCGGGUCGUAAACCGCUUUUCUGAGGGACGAAGAAGGACGGUACCCCAGGAAUAAGUCCCGGCUAACUACCUGCGGCAGCCGCGGGCCG
rnacentral:rRNA from 1 species